rnacentral:rRNA from 1 species
AUGCCGGAUCUCCUGGAUUAUCUAAUACCAAGACUAAAGUUGCGAUUCCAGAAUGUAGAGAAAGCAAGGGAAUUUUACAACAGAUACGCUAGACACGCUGGUUUUGGAAUCAGGAAGACGGGAGGGAAUGACAAUCACAAGUAGUGUGCUUGCGCGUUCCAAGGGAAACACACAACUUCUAUUUCAGAGGCUGACAGGAAGCAAAACAAAACAUCGUGGAGGACAGGCUGCAAUGCAAGAAUGAGGGUGAAGGUGAAGGAGGAUAACACAUGUGUGGUAGUGGACAUUGAGUACAAUCAUAAUCACCACCUCAUGCAAACUGAUGACAUGCUGGUAUUCUUGCACUCACACAAGAAUUAUGACCCCACUAUUUUGGAGUACAUAAAGCUCCUGCAGUACCAUGAUGUCAAGCAUACAACAAUCAUGUCCAUGCUAUUCGAAAAUGAAGAUGGAAGCUACUUCCUAAGCAUGACCAGAUGAGACCUACAAAUGCAGAAAGCCAUGAAUGCAAGGAAAGAUGAUUUUGAUGAUGUAUUGAAACUUGUAUCUUUCUUUAAAGACAUGAAGGCAAUCAAUGAUGAGUUUUUCUAUGACAUACAAGUAGACAGCGACAAAUCAUUUAAAAACAUUUUCUAGUCCAAUGCAAGCUGCCGAGGAGUGUAUCAAGACUUUGGCGAUUGCAUAACAUUCGUCACAACUUACAAGACCAACAUAUUUCAUAUGCCUCUGGGAGUGUUUGUUGGAACAAACCAUCAUUCGCAGUCAACGAUAUUUGCUGUUGCCCUGAUCAGAGACGAAGAUGCAAAGUCAUUCAAGUGGCUGUUCGAUACAUUUGUACGAUGCAUGAACAACAAACACCCAACUUGCAUUCUAACAGACCAGUGCCCGUCGAUGGCGAAAGCUAUACCACAAUCAUUCCCAAACACCAUCCACAAGCUAUGCCGUUGGCACAUCCUGAAGAAGGUCAAGGAAUACCUCAUUGUUGUACAAUAUAAAACAUUCAAAGAGGAGUUCAUAGCUAUCUUAAACUGGCCACUAAUGCCAAGGGAGUUUGAAGCUGCCUGGGCUGCACUGGUGCAAAAGUACAACCUGCAGAACGACCAGAUGAUGAUGCAGCUGUGGAGUCAUAGGAAAAUGUGGAUAUCAGCAUAG